rnacentral:rRNA from 1 species
GUCAGCUGCUGUACCACCUGCAGUGCAGACUAGGUGAUCUACCUGAAGCUAAGCAGGUUUAGGCCUGGCCUGUACUUGGAUGGAACACCAACUAGGAAAGCUGAGUUGCUGCUGGUG